UACGUAGGGUGCGAGCGUUGUCCGGAAUUAUUGGGCGUAAAGAGCUCGUAGGCGGUUCUGUCGCGUCUGCUGUGAAACUCAGGGCUUAACCCUGAGCUUGCAGUGGGUACGGGCAGACUAGGAGUGCGGUAGGGGAGACUGGAAUUCCUGGUGAUAGCGGUGAAAUGCGCAGAUAUCAGGGAGGGAACACCGGUGGGCCGAAAGGCGGGGUCUCUGGGC
rnacentral:rRNA from 1 species